CCGAAAACAAUUUUCGUACACCAGAUGGCGGUAUGAGUAGCGGCAAGAUCGUUUUGUAGUCGUUUGGCAUGUUUGGUUGAUACGAGGAUCUAAUAAAACAAUGGAUACCGAUUUAUAUGAUGAAUUUGGAAAUUAUAUUGGUCCCGAAUUAGAAAGUGAAUCGG